AAGCCCAGCUUGCUGGGUGGAUGAGUGGCGAACGGGUGAGUAACACGUGGGUAAUCUGCCCUGUACUCUGGGAUAAGCCUGGGAAACUGGGUCUAAUACCGGAUAGGACACACUACCGCAUGGUGGUGUGUGGAAAGUUCCGGCGGUACAGGUUGAGCCCGCGGCCUAUCAGCUUGUUGGUGGGGUGAUGGCCUACCAAGGCGACGACGGGUAGCCGGCCUGAGAGGGUGACCGGCCACACUGGGACUGAGACACGGCCCAGACUCCUACGGGAGGCAGCAGUGGGGAAUAUUGCACAAUGGGCGCAAGCCUGAUGCAGCGACGCCGCGUGGGGGAUGACGGCCUUCGGGUUGUAAACCCCUUUCGCCCGGGACGAAGCGCAAGUGACGGUACCGGGAGAAGAAGCACCGGCCAACUACGUGCCAGCAGCCGCGGUAAUACGUAGGGUGCAAGCGUUGUCCGGAAUUAUUGGGCGUAAAGAGCUCGUAGGCGGUGUGUCACGUCUGCCGUGAAAACCUGCGGCUUAACCGUGGGCGUGCGGUGGAUACGGGCAUCACUUGAGUUCGGUAGGGGAGACUGGAAUUCCUGGUGUAGCGGUGGAAUGCGCAGAUAUCAGGAGGAACACCGGUGGCGAAGGCGGGUCUCUGGGCCGAAACUGACGCUGAGGAGCGAAAGCGUGGGGAGCGAACAGGAUUAGAUACCCUGGUAGUCCACGCCGUA
rnacentral:rRNA from 1 species